AUGGAGCUCGCCCUCCCUCCCUUCCCCUCUCUCCUCCCCAAAUCCCACCACCUCCAGCCCCAUCCGCCCUCCCGGCCUCGCCAUGGCCGCCUCCAAGAACCGGCCAUGGCGCUGGCCCAAGCUCCGCCGCCCUGGCUGGCGCUCUCGCUCGACGAGGCGAGAAGCGCCCAUGUCCCUCACCACGCGCGGCCCGUCCAAGAGACAAGAGCUCGCCCGCCCGCCUCCUUCGCGCGCGGGGAGCCCCGGUUCGUCUCGGAGACCAAGCUCAUCACGUUCCACUCCUCCGCGGGGCGCCUGGGCGCCGCCCGCGAGGUGUUCGACGGAAUGGGCCACAGGGACCUGCUCGCCUGGUCGGCCAUGAUCGGCGCGUACGCCACCAGGGGCAUCUUCCACGAGGUGCUCGCGCUCGCGGUGAGCAUGAUCGGCGAAGGCGUGCUCCCCGACAGGUUCUUGAUCACUCGGAUUUUGCAGGCGUGUGCCUACGCCGAGGACCAGAGGCUCGGGAGCGUGCUGCACUCCAUGGCUAUCCGGAGAGGGUUUAUGGGCAGGGUGAAGGAUGUGCCUGUGGGGAACUCGGUGCUGGUGAUGUAUGUCAAAUGUGGAGAGCUGGGGCGCGCGCGUGCGGUGUUUGACAAGAUGAGGCGCCGGGACCUGGGCACGUGGAACUCGAUGAUCUUUGGGUGCUGCAGGUCUUGCCAGUGGGAGGAAGCGCGGAGGCUUCUUGAUGAGAUGAGGCGGGAAGGGACAGAGCCAGGGGUUGUCACAUGGAACACAUUGAUUUCGAGCUAUGCCAGGUCUGGGGAUCUUGAUGUGGCCGUGGACCUGCUGGGACAGAUGGAAGAGUGUGGAGUAGAGCCAGAUGUUGUCACGUGGACAAGCCUUGUGUCAGGUUUCGUUCAUAGCGAUAGAGGGGAUGAGGCACUUCAGUGUUUUAUCCGGAUGCGUGUGGCUGGAGUGGAACCAAAUGGCAUGACAAUUGCAUGUGCCAUCUCAGCUUGUGCGAGUUUGAAGUUAUUGAGACAGGGAAGCCAGCUCCAUUGCCAUGCGAUUAAGAUUGGGACUGUAAACAACGUCUUGUCAGGGAACUCCUUGGUUGACAUGUAUGCUAAAUGUGACGAAAUAGUCGCAGCAUAUAGAAUAUUUAAUGAGAUACCCGAGAAGGACAUCUUCUCCUGGAAUUCAAUGGUUGCAGGGUAUGCGCAAGCGGGAUACUGUGGCAAGGCGUACGAACUCUUCUGCAAGAUGGAAAGUUAUGGUAUCCAGCGCAAUGCGAUAACCUGGAAUACAAUGAUAUCAGGGUACAUACGGAAUGGGGAUGACGAGAGAGCUUUUGAACUAUUCCAGACCAUGGAAAGUUAUGGAGUGAAAAAGGACACAGCUUCCUGGAACAUACUCAUUGCUGGUUCAGUGCAUAAUGGAUAUUUUGAUAGAGCCCUAAGAAUAUUUCGGCAGAUGCAAUCAGUUCUGAUAAAGCCCGACUACAUUACAAUCCUAAGUAUCAUCCCAGCGUUCGCAAAUCUGGUGGCAGCGUGGAAAGUACGGGAGAUCCAUGCCUGUAUUUUUCACCACAACUUAGAAAUGGAUGGGAAAAUCGCAAAUGCGCUUAUUAAUGCCUAUUCAAAAUCUGGUGAUCUUGCUGGUGCUUGUGCUGUUUUUGAUAGGCACUCAUCAAGGAACACUAUUUCAUGGAAUUGCAUCAUUGUUGCACAUUUGCUGCAUGGGUCUCCAACUAAAGUGGUGGAUUACUUCUUUAAAAUGAAGCAACAAGGUGUACUGCCAGAUCAUACAACUUUGACAGCUGUUAUCAGGGCCUACGGUAUGGAGGGGAUGGUAUCUGAAGGGAGAGAAAUAUUUCUCAAUAUGGACAAAGACUAUAAUGUAACUCCAGAUUUAGAUCAUUAUGCAGCAAUGGUAGACCUUCUUGGACGGUCUGGGAGACUGCAAGAGGCAUAUGCAAUUAUUGAUGAAAUGCCACUCGCACCCAAUUUAACACUGUGGGAGUCAUUACUAACCUCAGCAAGAAUGCAUGGAAAUGUAAGGCUGGCACUACUGGCGGCUACAGAGAUGUCCAUGAUUGAACCCAAUGAUCCUAGAAUCCAAGUAGUGGUUUCUAGUCUGCAGGAUCUUGCUGGACAAUCUUUUGAUGUGCCAAAGGUGACAAUACACAGCAAGGAAAGAAUGUUGGGUGGGGUUGAGAGUUGUUCAACAGAAAUCAGAAAUAUGGUAUAUUUGUUCUCAACUGGUGAUAAGGUUGCCUCGGAGCAUGAAGCAGCUGAAUUAAAAUUGAUGAUGAUUGAGAUGGGACCCUCUAUGCUUAGCGCUGGUAAUGGAACUCUAGAAGUGGAAGAAGAGAAGGAAGAACUUGCGGGAAUCCAUUGUGAGAAAUUAGCAAUUAUUGUUGGGAUUUUUAAUUCCCCUCACUUCAGAAGCAUACGGAUAAUCAAAACUGCAAGGAUGUGUAACCAUUGUCACACCUUCGCUAAGUUAGUUUCGGAGAAGUAUGGGCGUCAGAUACUGAUCAAGGAUCCGAAGUAUUUGCACAAGUUUGAGAAUGGUAAUUGCUCUUGUGAAGAUUAUUGGUAA
rnacentral:rRNA from 1 species